GGGUUUUUGGGGUGGCAAUGUUCAUUGUUUCGUGGCGUGGUUGAGAGUUGUCAUAAACAGUUUGGAUCAGGAGAACUUAUGCAAUGCAUUGAUGAUUGCAUGGGUAUUUGGGAUAGCAGGAAUAAGCGUACUUGGAAGCAAUCAGUGUUAAAUCCAAGCCAUGUUGUUCAAAAUUCUUGCCGUUUCUUGUUACGAUGGAGAGAUGCUCAGCAGCUUUAUGUGGUACAACAUAUAUCCAACCAGUGUACAUCAGGCUAAAUGGUCGGUACCAAAUCUUGGAAGACUGAAGAGUAAUUUUGUUGCUGCAUUUAG
rnacentral:misc_RNA from 1 species